rnacentral:rRNA from 1 species
AACGAACGCUGGCGGCAGGCCUAACACAUGCAAGUCGAGCGCGCCCUCCGGGGUGAGCGGCGGACGGGUGAGUACCGCGUGGGAACGUGCCCUUUUCUACGGUAUAGCCUCGGGAAACUGAGAGUCAUACCGUAUACGCUCUUUGGGGGAAAGAUUUCUCGGAAAAGGAUCGGCGCGCGUUGGAUUAGGUAGUUGGUGGGGGAAUCGCCUACCAAGCCGACGAUCCAUAGCUGGUUGGAGAGGAUGAUCAGCCGCACUGGGGCUGAGACACGGCCCAGACUCCUACGGGAGGGAGCAGUAGGGUAUCUUAGGCAAGGGAGGCAACCCUGAUCAAGCCAUGCCGCGGGAGUGAGGAAGGCCUUAGGGUAGUAAAGCUCUUUCAGCUGGGAAGAUAAUGACGGUACCAGCAGAAGAAGCCCCGGCUAACUCCGUG